GCCUAUGGUCAUUACACCCUGAAUGCACCUGAUCUCGUCUGAUCUUGGAAGCUAAGCAGGGUCAGGCCUGGUUAGUACUUAUGUGGAAGACAGAUCUUCAGAAGAGACUGUUCAGAGACCAAGAAUUUGGAGACA
rnacentral:rRNA from 1 species